rnacentral:lncRNA from 1 species
AUUCAUAAUCUGGCUAAAUAUUUUUUCCUAUAUGGAAGUUCAGUCAUAUCCACAAGAGCCCACAUCGACAAGCUGUCCAUCAUCUACCUGUGUGUGUGUCUACAUCGACAAGCUGUCCAUCAUCUACCUGUGUGUGUGUCUACAUCGACAAGCUGUCCAUCAUCUACCUGUGUGUGUGUGUCUACAUCGACAAGCUGUCCAUCAUCUACCUGUGUGUGUGUGUCUACAACGACAAGCUGUCCAUCAUCUACCUGUGUGUGUGUGUACAUCGACAAGCUGUCCAUCAUCUACCUGUGUGUGUGGUCCACAAAUCGACAAGCUGUCCAUCAUCUACCUGUGUGUGUGCUACUCGACAAGCGUCCUCAUCUACCUGUGUGUGUGUGUCUACAUCGACAAGCUGUCCAUCAUCUACCUGUGGUGUGUGGUCUACAAUCGACAAGCUGUCCAUCAUCUACCUGUGUGUGUGUGUCUACAUCGACAGCUGUCCAUCAUCUACCUGUGUGUGUGUGUCUACAUCGACAAGCUGUCCCUCAUCUACCUGUGUGUGUGUCUACAUCGACAAGCUGUCCAUCAUCUACCUGUGUGUGUGUGUGUCUACAUCGACAAGCUGUCCACAUCUACCUGUGUGUGUGUGUCUACAUCGACAAGCUGUCCAUCAUCUACCUGUGUGUGUGUCUACAUCGACAAGCUGUCCAUCAUCUACCUGUGUGUGUGUCUACAAUCGACAAGCUGCCAUCUCUACCUGUGUGUGUUGUUCUACACGACAAGCGUCCAUCAUCUACCUGUGUGUGGGUGUCUACAUCGACAAGCUGUCCAUCAUCGACACUGUGUGUGUGUCCUACAUCGACAAGCUGUCCAUCAUUACCUGUGUGUGUGUCUAC